rnacentral:rRNA from 1 species
UCCUACGGGAGGCAGCAGUGGGGAAUAUUGGACAAUGGGGGGAACCCUGAUCCAGCCAUGCCGCGUGUGUGAAGAAGGCCCUCGGGUUGUAAAGCACUUUCAGCGAGGAAGAACGCCUAGCGGUUAAUACCCGCUAGGAAAGACAUCACUCGCAGAAGAAGCACCGGCCAACUCCGUGCCAGCAGCCGCGGUAAUACGGAGGGUGCAAGCGUUAAUCGGAAUUACUGGGCGUAAAGCGCGCGUAGGUGGCUUGAUAAGCCGGUUGUGAAAGCCCCGGGCUCAACCUGGGAACGGCAUCCGGAACUGUCAAGCUAGAGUGCAGGAGAGGAAGGUAGAAUUCCCGGUGUAGCGGUGAAAUGCGUAGAGAUCGGGAGGAAUACCAGUGGCGAAGGCGGCCUUCUGGACUGACACUGACACUGAGGUGCGAAAGCGUGGGUAGCAAACAGGAUUAGAUACCCUGGUAGUCCACGCCGUAAACGAUGUCGACCAGCCGUUGGGUGCCUAGCGCACUUUGUGGCGAAGUUAACGCGAUAAGUCGACCGCCUGGGGAGUACGGCCGCAAGGUUAAAACUCAAAUGAAUUGACGG